rnacentral:rRNA from 1 species
AACGAACGCUGGCGGCAUGCCUAACACAUGCAAGUCGAACGAAGGCUUCGGCCUUAGUGGCGCACGGGUGCGUAACGCGUGGGAAUCUGCCCUUGGGUUCGGAAUAACUCAGAGAAAUUUGAGCUAAUACCGAAUGAUGUCGAAAGACCAAAGAUUUAUCGCCCAAGGAUGAGCCCGCGUAGGAUUAGCUUGUUGGUGAGGUAAAAGCUCACCAAGGCGACGAUCCUUAGCUGGUCUGAGAGGAUGAUCAGCCACACUGGGACUGAGACACGGCCCAGACUCCUACGGGAGGCAGCAGUGGGGAAUAUUGGACAAUGGGCGAAAGCCUGAUCCAGCAAUGCCGCGUGAGUGAUGAAGGCCUUAGGGUUGUAAAGCUCUUUUACCAGGGAUGAUAAUGACAGUACCUGGAGAAUAAGCUCCGGCUAACUCCGUG